ACACAGAUCACCCGGGGACCUUGUUAAAAUGCAGAUUCCGAUUCAGUGGGUCUAGGGUAGAGGCUGAGAUUCAGAAUUUCUAACCAGCUCCCAAGUGAUUUUGAU
rnacentral:pre_miRNA from 1 species